rnacentral:rRNA from 1 species
AGAGUUUGAUCAUGGCUCAGGGUGAACGCUGGCGGCGUGCCUAAGACAUGCAAGUCGAACGGGCCUGAUUUCGGUCAGGCUAGUGGCGGACGGGUGAGUAACACGUGGGUGAUCUACCCCAAAGUCUGGGACAACUAGGGGAAACCUUAGCUAAUCCCGGAUGGUGAGGCUUCUCCUGUGAAGUCUCUAAAGAUUUAUCGCUUUGGGAUGAGCCCGCGGCGCAUCAGCUAGUUGGUGGGGUAAUGGCCUACCAAGGCGACGACGCGUAGCUGGUCUGAGAGGACGACCAGCCACAGGAGCACUGAGACACGGGCUCCACUCCUACGGGAGGCAGCAGUUAGGAAUCUUCGUCAAUGGGCGAAAGCCUGAACGAGCGACGCCGCUUGAGGGACGAAGCCCUUCGGGGUGUAAACCUCUGAACAGGGGACGAUGAUGACGGUACCCUGCUAAUAGCACCGGCUAACUCCGUGCCAGCAGCCGCGGUAAUACGGAGGGUGCGAGCGUUACCCGGAUUUACUGGGCGUAAAGGGCGUGUAGGCGGUUUUCUAAGUCCGGGGCUAAAGACCAGGGCUCAACCCUGGGUUUGCCUUGGAUACUGGAAAGCUCGACGGCUGGAGGGGGCAGCGGAAUUUCCGGAGUAGCGGUGAAAUGCGCAGAUACCGGAAGGAACGCCAAUAGCGAAGGCAGCUGCCUGGACAGUACGUGACGCUGAGGCGCGAAAGCGUGGGGAGCAAACCGGAUUAGAUACCCGGGUAGUCCACGCCCUAAACGAUGAGUGCUGGGUGUCCGGCGUUGCCGGG